GGACGAUGCCCCAACCUCGCUCGCCCGCGAGGAUGGAGUGCGGCCUGACUCACCUUGUAAUUGUGAUAGUGCGUCUCCACUAGCUGCCGGUGGCGUGACUUGCCGUGGCCGAAGUUGGACUUCUCACAGACUAGAAAUGGAUGCCAUUCGAGAUCAUGAUGUUAAAUGAGAUAAGUCGGACACAGGGAGUUAAAUAUUAUUUAAUAUCUCUUAUAUGAAAAAUACAAAUGAAGAGCAAAAUAAAGGUGCUGUGGCUUGCUGCCUGCUGCCUGCCUCGCCAUGGACUGAUUCUCCUCUGUGAUGCCCCUCUGCCAUGCUGCCCUGCCUUGGAUUCAGCCAACUGUGGACUAGAAUCUCCUUGAACUGUGAACUAAAUAAACCUUUCCUCCCUUACCUA